GGAGAGAUGGCCGAGUGGUUCAAGGCGUAGCAUUGGAACUGAUAUGUAGACUUUUGUUUACCGAGGGUUCAGACUCUCUUUCCG
rnacentral:tRNA from 1 species